UACGGAGGGGGCGAGCGUUAUUCGGAAUUAUUGGGCGUAAAGGGCGCGUAGGCGGCUAGGUAAGUCAAAGGUGAAAUCCCUCGGCUCAACUGAGGAACUGCCUUUGAAACUGUCUAGCUCGAGGCCGGGAGGGGGUGGCGGAAUUCCCAGUGUAGCGGUGAAAUGCGUAGAUAUUAGGAGGAACACCGGUGGCGAAGGCGGGUCUCUGGGCCGAUACUGACGCUGAGGAGCGAAAGCAUGGGUAGCGAACAGG
rnacentral:rRNA from 1 species